GGUAUCAUAUCCAUAGGAUAUCAUAAGGACUCUGUAUAGAUUUCUGCAUUUUUCACCUGUAUUGUGACUUCUGAGGUCCUCCAUGUGUGCAUGAAGUUGCCGAUUCCUCUUUUUUUCAUACGAAUGCUUCCCUUUUGAGCUCUUCGUAAUCUGAGUUACCAGAUUCACGAGGCUGACUUUAUGCCCUUAUUUCACGCCUCAUUGAUGUUUGGAAGCCCACGUAUGAACCUAUUCGGCCAAUGAUCUAGGCCUAUCACUCUUUUGGAUAGACAUUAUUAUCUAAGGUCCUCCAUGUGUGCAUGAAGUUGCCGAUUCCUCUUUUUUUCAUACGAAUGCUUCCCUUUUGAGCUCUUCGUAAUCUGAGUUACCAGAUUCACGAGGCUGACUUUAUGCCCUUAUUUCACGCCUCAUUGAUGUUUGGAAGCCCACGUAUGAACCUAUUCGGCCAAUGAUCUAGGCCUAUCACUCUUUUGGAUAGACAUUAUUAUCUAAGGUAUCAUAUCCAUAGGAUACCAUAAGGACUCUGUAUAGAUUUCUGCAUUUUUCACCUGUAUUGUGACUUCUGAGGUCCUCCAUGUGUGCAUGAAGUUGCCGAUUCCUCUUUUUUUCAUACGAAUGCUUCCCUUUUGAGCUCUUCGUAAUCUGAGUUACCAGAUUCACGAGGCUGACUUUAUGCCCUUAUUUCACGCCUCAUUGAUGUUUGGAAGCCCACGUAUGAACCUAUUCGGCCAAUGAUCUAGGCCUAUCACUCUUUUGGAUAGACAUUAUUAUCUAAGAUGAAAUUACCCCUGAUGACCCCUGAUUUAAAUUACCCCUGAUGAAGUCUAGUUCCUAGAUGAAACGCGUUGGGUUACUGUAUUUCUUGUUGAUGUUAUCUCCGAAUAUUUAAUGAGGAAGAAUAAGGAUACAACAGAAAGGUUGCCUUCUUUCCUCCAUAUCCCAUUGAUGGAUUUCUGUAGGAGAAACUACAUCAUAAUGUACAUGUAAUAAUGAUUGAUAUACUUCAUGUUUCUGUAUAAUUGUUUUAAUAAAUUUUUAUGAAAAGUA